UUCCGGUUGAUCCUGCCGGACCUGACUGCUAUCGGAUUGAUACUAAGCCAUGCGAGUCAUUGUAGCAAUACAAGGCAGACGGCUCAGUAACGCGUAGUCAACCUAACCUAUGGACGGGAAUAACCUCGGGAAACUGAGAAUAAUGCCCGAUAGAACACUAUACCUGGAAUGGUUUGUGUUCCAAAUGAUUUAUCGCCGUAGGAUGGGACUGCGGCCUAUCAGUUUGUUGGUGAGGUAAUGGCCCACCAAGACUAUUACAGGUACGGGCUCUGAGAGGAGUAGCCCGGAGAUGGGUACUGAGACACGGACCCAGGCCCUAUGGGGCGCAGCAGGCGAGAAAACUUUGCAAUGUGCGAAAGCACGACAAGGUUAAUCCGAGUGGUUUGUGCUAAACGAACCUUUUGUCGGUCCUAGAAACACCGAUGAAUAAGGGGUGGGCAAGUUCUGGUGUCAGCCGCCGCGGUAAAACCAGCACCUCAAGUGGUCAGGAUGAUUAUUGGGCCUAAAGCAUCCGUAGCCGGCUCUGUAAGUUUUCGGUUAAAUCUGUACGCUCAACGUACAGGCUGCCGGGAAUACUGCAGAGCUAGGGAGUGGGAGAGGUAGACGGUACUCGGUAGGAAGGGGUAAAAUCCUUUGAUCUAUUGAUGACCACCUGUGGCGAAGGCGGUCUACCAGAACACGUCCGACGGUGAGGGAUGAAAGCUGGGGGAGCAAACCGGAUUAGAUACCCGGGUAGUCCCAGCUGUAAACUAUGCAAACUCAGUGAUGCAUUGGCUUGUGGCCAAUGCAGUGCUGCAGGGAAGCCGUUAAGUUUGCCGCCUGGGAAGUACGUACGCAAGUAUGAAACUUAAAGGAAUUGGCGGGGGAGCACCACAAGGGGUGAAGCCUGCGGUUCAAUUGGAUUCAACGCCGGA
rnacentral:rRNA from 1 species